CACGGAGGGUGCGAGCGUUGUCCGGAAUCACUGGGCGUAAAGCGUGCGCAGGCGGCUAUGCAAGACAGAUGUGAAAUCCCCGGGCUCAACCUGGGAACUGCAUUUGUGACUGCAUGGCUAGAGUACGGUAGAGGGGGAUGGAAUUCCGCGUGUAGCAGUGAAAUGCGUAGAUAUGCGGAGGAACACCGAUGGCGAAGGCAAUCCCCUGGACCUGUACUGACGCUCAUGCACGAAAGCGUGGGGAGCAAACAGG
rnacentral:rRNA from 1 species